rnacentral:rRNA from 1 species
CCUACGGGUGGCUGCAGUGGGGAAUAUUGGACAAUGGGCGAAAGCCUGAUCCAGCCAUGCCGCGUGUGUGAAGAAGGCCUUCGGGUUGUAAAGCACUUUCAGUGGGGAAGAAAGCCUUGGGGCUAAUACCCUCGAGGAAGGACAUCACCCACAGAAGAAGCACCGGCUAACUCCGUGCCAGCAGCCGCGGUAAUACGGAGGGUGCGAGCGUUAAUCGGAAUUACUGGGCGUAAAGCGCGCGUAGGCGGUCUGAUAAGCCGGUUGUGAAAGCCCCGGGCUCAACCUGGGAACGGCAUCCGGAACUGUCAGGAUAGGGUGCAGGAGAGGAAGGUAGAAUUCCCGGUGUAGCGGUGAAAUGCGUAGAGAUCGGGAGGAAUACCAGUGGCGAAGGCGGCCUUCUGGACUGACACUGACGCUGAGGUGCGAAAGCGUGGGUAGCAAACAGGAUUAGAUACCCUAGUAGUC